rnacentral:rRNA from 1 species
GGGUGAGUAAUGCCUAGGAAUCUGCCUGGUAGUGGGGGACAACGUUUCGAAAGGAACGCUAAUACCGCAUACGUCCUACGGGAGAAAGCAGGGGAUUCGGGCCUUGCGCUAUCAGAUGAGCCUAGGUCGGAUUAGCUAGUUGGUGAGGUAAUGGCUCACCAAGGCGACGAUCCGUAACUGGUCUGAGAGGAUGAUCAGUCACACUGGAACUGAGACACGGUCCAG